rnacentral:rRNA from 1 species
UACGAAGGGUGCAAGCGUUGCUCGGAAUUAUUGGGCGUAAAGGGUAGGUAGGUGGUUACGUAUGUCUGAGGUGAAAUCCCUGAGCUUAACUCAGGAAGUGCCUUGGAAACGGCGUAACUAGAGUAUUAGAGAGGUUCGUGGAAUUCCCAGUGUAGCGGUGAAAUGCGUAGAGAUUGGGAGGAACACCAGAGGCGAAGGCGGCGAACUGGAUAAUUACUGACACUGAACUACGAAAGCGUGGGGAGCAAACAGG